rnacentral:rRNA from 1 species
UCAAGCUACUAAGGGCAUACGGUGGAUGCCUAGGCGCCAAGAGCCGAAGAAGGACGCGGUAAGCUGCGAAAAGCCACGGGGAACUGCAAGCAAGUAUUGAUCCGUGGAUAUCCGAAUGGGGAAACCCGGCCAUCGUCAUGGAUGGUCACCCGCAAGGGAGGGAACCUGGGGAACUGAAACAUCUAAGUACCCGGAGGAAGAGAAAUCAAACGAGAUGCCCACAGUAGCGGCGAGCGAAGAGGGCAGAGCCCAAACCGAGAAGCUCCGGCUUUUCGGGGUUGAGGACCGGCAGAAUCGAAGUCAGGCCUAGUUGAAUUACCUGGAAAGGUAAGCGAGAGAGGGUAAAAGCCCCGUAGACGAAAGGCAGAGCAGAGAGGCCGAGAUCCAGAGUACCACGAAGCACGAGGAAUUUUGUGGGAAGCAGGGGGGACCACCCUCCAAGGCUAAAAACUACUUGGCGACCGAUAGCGCAUAGUACCGUGAGGGAAAGGUGAAAAGAACCCCGGGAGGGGAGUGAAAUAGUACCUGAAACCGUAUGUCUACAAGCAGUCGAAGCGAAAGCGACGGCGUGCCUAUUGAAGAAUGAACCAACGAGUUAUCUGCACUAGCGAGGUUAAGUGGAAGACACGGAGCCGCAGCGAAAGCGAGUCUUAAGAGGGCGCUAGUUAGUGUAGGUAGACCCGAAACCGCAGUGAUCUACCCAUGUCCAGGUUGAAGCGCAGGUAAAAUUGCGUGGAGGACCGAACCGGUGAGCGUUGAAAAGCUUUCGGAUGAGAUGUGGGUAGGGGUGAAAUUCCAAUCGAACGCGGAGAUAGCUGGUUCUCCCCGAAAUAGCUUUAGGGCUAGCCUGAGGUAGUAAGUAUAGGCGGUAGAGCACUGAUCGGGCUAGGGGCCGUAAAGGUUACCGAACCCUGUCAAACUCCGAAUGGAUAUACUGUAGAGCCUUGGAGUCAGACUACGAGUGAUAAGAUCCGUGGUCAAAAGGGAAACAGCCCAGACCACCAGCUAAGGUCCCCAAUGUCGUACUAAGUGGAAAAGGAUGUGGGGUUUCAUAAACAACCAGGAUGUUGGCUCAGAAGCAGCCACCAUUUAAAGAGUGCGUAAUAGCUCACUGGUCGAGAGACCCUGCGCCGAAGAUUCCCGGGGCUAAAGUACGAAACCGAAGCUGUGGCUGUAUACGUAAAGUAUACGGGGUAGGGGAGCGUUCCCAUAGGGUAGAAGUCGAACUGGAAGGUUCGGUGGACUUGUGGGAAGUGAGAAUGUUGGUAUGAGUAGCGAAAAGAAAGGUGAGAAUCCUUUCCACCGAAAGCAUAAGGAUUCCUGAGCAACGAUCGUCGUCUCAGGGUAAGUCGGGACCUAAUCCGAGGCAGAGAGCGUAGGAGAUGGACAACUGGUUGAUAUUCCAGUACCGGUAGUAAUUGUUUGAGCAAUGGAGUGACACAGAAGGGCAGGCAAGCAUGCGAAUGGAAGAGCAUGUGUAAGCGUGUAGGGUGGUGCAUAGGCAAAUCCGUGCACUGAAAGCCUGAGGCGUGAUGCGGAGUGAGCAGAGAUGCGAGCGAAGUUGUUGACCCCACACUGUCGAGAAAAGCUUCUAGUGAGAGAGCUACCGCCCGUACCGUAAACCGACACAGGUAUGCGGGGAGAGAAUCCUAAGGUGCGCGGGAGAACCCUCGUUAAGGAACUCGGCAAAAUGUACCCGUAACUUCGGGAUAAGGGUAGCCACUGUUGUGAAGUCCCAUGCGGAUGGAGCAUAGAGUGGUCGCAGAGAAGAGGCCCAAGCGACUGUUUACCAUAAACACAGGUGCCUGCUAAAGCGAAAGCUGACGUAUAGGUGCUGACACCUGCCCAGUGCCGGAAGGUUAAGGAAGGAUGUUCGGAUUAGUCCAAAGCAUUCGACUGAAGCCCCGGUGAACGGCGGCCGUAACUAUAACGGUCCUAAGGUAGCGAAAUUCCUUGUCGGGUAAGUUCCGACCCGCACGAAAGGUGUAACGAUUUGGGCACUGUCUCAAAUUGGGUUUUGAUACAUUACGUACAGGAUAGGUGGGAGGCAUGGAAAGCUGGACGCUAGUCUGGCUGGAGCCGACGUUGGGAUACCACCCUUGAUGUAUUGAAAUUCUAACCGCGAGAGUAACGAAAUCCGGGACAGUGUCAGGCGGGCAGUUUGACUGGGGCGGUCGCCUCCGAAAGAGUAACGGAGGCGCCCAAAGGUUCCCUCAGCGCGGCCGGAAAUCGCGCGAAGAGUGUAAAGGCAGAAGGGAGCUUGACUGCGAGUCAAACACGACGAGCAGGUACGAAAGUAGGGCUUAGUGAUCCGGUGGUACCGAGUGGAAGGGCCAUCGCUCAACGGAUAAAAGCUACCCUGGGGAUAACAGGCUAAUCUCUCCCAAGAGUCCAUAUCGACGGGGAGGUUUGGCACCUC